rnacentral:misc_RNA from 1 species
AAGUCGUAACAAGGUUUCCGUAGGUGAACCUGCGGAAGGAUCAUUACCAAUCCAAAACUUUUAUAAACCACUUUGUGCACUAUGAACCCGAAUCCUUACCCCUUUCAAUUACAAACAGGCAAUUUUCAUUGUCUUUUUGUGAAAGGGAGGGGUAAGGAGUUUUUUCCUCUCUCUGUUUCCUUCACUCCUUUUUUGGAGUUUGGAGACAGAGGAGGUUAAGACAAACAUAACUAAAAACAUUCUUUCUUUAAAAAACACUCUUAACAGUCAUGUUAAAAGGAUUUUUUCAAAAAUCUUACAUGUUUGAAUGCUUAUAGCAAACAAAACUAAAAAAAUGACAACUUUUAACGGUGGAUCUCUUGGCUCGU